CAGCCGCCACGGUAAUACGUAGGGUGCAAGCGUUACUCGGAAUUACUGGGCGUAAAGCGUGCGUAGGUGGUGGUUUAAGUCCGUUGUGAAAGCCCUGGGCUCAACCUGGGAAUUGCAGUGGAUACUGGGUCACUAGAGUGUGGUAGAGGAUAGUGGAAUUUCCGGUGUAGCAGUGAAAUGCGUAGAGAUCGGAAGGAACAUCUGUGGCGAAGGCGGCCAUCUGGGACAACACUGACGCUGAGGCACGAAAGCGUGGGGAGCAAACAGGAUUAGAUACCCGCGUAGUCCCUGUCUCUUAUAC
rnacentral:rRNA from 1 species